GUGGUGAUGGUCAAGAACAGUAAGGGGAUCAAAUUCAAAUUGGGGCCCAAAGUCAGCACUUUGCCACGUUUGACCUAGCUGUUGAACUGAAUCUUUUUCUAAGUCUGAAAACAGCAAUCAAUAGCUAUGUUUGGAGCGAAAUUCAGAAGGAUGGAGUGCAAAAGGUAUAAGUGUUUAUGAGCAAAAUGGAAUCCCUGAUGGUUGUAGAGCAUGG
rnacentral:lncRNA from 1 species